UUACUCGCUUUGUAGGUACGUAUACUAAAAUUGGAACGAGACAGAGAAAAUUAGCAUGACCCUGGCGCAAAUAUGACACGCAAAAUUGUAAAGUGUUCCAUAUUUUU
rnacentral:snRNA from 1 species